CACUAGGUCACGAAGCUGUCAAGGCUCAGAGAGAGAGAGAGAGAGAGAGGCCAAGUACAGUAUAGGUGGGAAUAGCCAUGGUGGUAAUAGCAUCCAAAAGAAUGGGCUUGAUGAUGCUUGUGGCGACUCUCAUACUGUGCUCGUCCAUUGGUGUCAACGCCGAUUCGCACAAACUUUUGUCGCGCAAGUGGAGAUGUGUAAUUUCAUGUGCCUUUUCACCUCC